AGUGAACGCUGGCGGUAGGCCUAACACAUGCAAGUCGAACGGCAGCACAGUAAGAGCUUGCUCUUACGGGUGGCGAGUGGCGGACGGGUGAGGAAUACAUCGGAAUCUACUUUUUCGUGGGGGAUAACGUAGGGAAACUUACGCUAAUACCGCAUACGACCUACGGGUGAAAGCAGGGGAUCUUCGGACCUUGCGCGAUUGAAUGCGCCGAUGUCGGAUUAGCUAGUUGGCGGGGUAAAGGCCCAGCAAGGCGACGAUCCGUAGCUGGUCUGAGAGGAUGAUCAGCCACACUGGAACUGAGACACGGUCCAGACUCCUACGGGAGGCAGCAGUGGGGAAUAUUGGACAAUGGGCGCAAGCCUGAUCCAGCCAUACCGCGUGGGUGAAGAAGGCCUUCGGGUUGUAAAGCCCUUUUGUUGGGAAAGAAAAGCAGCAGGUUAAUACCCCGCUGUUCUGACGGUACCCAAAGAAUAAGCACCGGCUAACUUCGUG
rnacentral:rRNA from 1 species